rnacentral:tRNA from 1 species
GGCAGCGUGGUGUAGUGGUUUGAGUGUUGGAGGAUGACUCUAGAGACCAGGGUUCGAUUCCUCGCUCGGCCA